AGAAGAGCUGCUGGAGUGAUGUCUACAUAUUAGUUCUGCCUGUGACUUGGCUGUGGAUUGUUCAUUGAUGCUAGACUUGACCUUGGGCUGCUCUGAACUUGCUUUGCCCUGUGUUGCUCAUGGACUGCCUGGUUCCUAGCCUUGGACUGCUCUGCUUCUUGCCUUUGUUGUUGUGGACUCUGUUCAGGUUCUGACUUUGGACGGGCCCUGGAUGCUGCCUUGCUGUUGCCCUCAACUGCAUUAGUGCUGGGAAGUCUCCUGCCCCCUGAAGAACCUGCUGAGGACACGACAGUAGAGAAACCAGCCUGUGGUACCAAGGCUUGUUGUGAAGAUGAAAUGUGGAAGAGGAGAACUACGUAUGCUGCUUUGAGCUCCGUCGAGGAAAAGCAAGAUCUCAAUUCAACAUAUUUAACUUUUUAAAUACUUUUGUUGUUGUUGGCAAACGGCGUCGCAGAAUUCAGAGAAGUGCACAUUUCAAAGGAUUGUUGUGUUUUAGUUCACUCCUUGAUCAGGAAGUUCCAGUCGGUUUGCAUUAAACUCUCGGCUGAAAUUAA